rnacentral:rRNA from 1 species
UACGAAGGGGGCUAGCGUUGUUCGGAAUCACUGGGCGUAAAGCGCACGUAGGCGGCUUGUUAAGUCAGGGGUGAAAUCCUGGAGCUCAACUCCAGAACUGCCUUUGACACUGGUGAUCUUGAGUUCGGGAGAGGUGAGUGGAACUGCGAGUGUAGAGGUGAAAUUCGUAGAUAUUCGCAAGAACACCAGUGGCGAAGGCGGCUCACUGGCCCGAUACUGACGCUGAGGCACGAAAGCGUGGGGAGCAAACAGG